CACUGUCGCCAGGGGAGCCCCAACGGGCUGAGAGUGCGCUUCGCGCUUACCCUGGAACCUGAUCCGGAUGAUACCGGCGGAGGAAGUGCGACAUGCCUUACCU
rnacentral:ncRNA from 2 species